rnacentral:lncRNA from 1 species
GCUCAACUAUAAAUAUAGGCCUCUCCCUUCAUUGUAAAAACAAAAGGGGGGAGAAAAGAGGAGGAGGAAUAAAAAAGAACGAUUGGCGGUUUUUUAAAGGUGGCUUACUAUUUUUUUCUUUCGAUUAUUUUUUUUACUUAUUUACGAUUUUAAAAAAAGGAGAAGGUGAUACCACUGCGAAUUUUAUGUAUUUUUUUAUUUAGCCCCUCCGCCUUUAAAUGUCUUUAUAAUUAGGUUUUUUUUAUUUUUUUAAAUUCACUCUUUAAUUUAUUUUAAUUUCAAUUUAACCCUUCUUGAACGACACCGUUUUAGAGGAGAAGGGAAAAUUGCCCUUCCAGCCCCUCUAUGUAAUUCGCGCGUUCAAUUUGGUCCUCCAGACUUUAUUUAUUUGCGGAUUCACCCCUGUUUUUUUUCUUGCUACCCAAUUUAGUCCUUUUUUCCAUAUUUUU